GGUUGUGGCUCAGCGGUAGAGCGCUCGCCUUGCACGUGCUAGACCCUGGGUUCAAUCCUCAGCACCA
rnacentral:tRNA from 1 species